AUUGAACGCUGGCGGCAGGCCUAACACAUGCAAGUCGAGCGGAUGAAGGGAGCUUGCUCCUGGAUUCAGCGGCGGACGGGUGAGUAAUGCCUAGGAAUCUGCCUGGUAGUGGGGGAUAACGUCCGGAAACGGGCGCUAAUACCGCAUACGUCCUGAGGGAGAAAGUGGGGGAUCUUCGGACCUCACGCUCUCAGAUGAGCCUAGGUCGGAUUAGCUAGUUGGUGGGGUAAAGGCCUACCAAGGCGACGAUCCGUAACUGGUCUGAGAGGAUGAUCAGUCACACUAGAACUGGGACACGGACCAGACUCCUACGGGAGGCAGCAGUGGGGAAUAGUAGACAGUGGGCGAAAGCCUUAUACAGCCAUGCCGCGUGUGUGAAGAAGGUCUUCGGAGUGUAAAGCACUUUAAGUUGGGAGGAAGGGCAGUAAGUUAAUACCUUGCUGGUUUGACGUUACCAACAGAAUAAGCACCGGCUAACUUCGUG
rnacentral:rRNA from 1 species